rnacentral:tRNA from 6 species
GGGAUAUGGCGAAAUUGGUAGAC